GUGAACGCUGGCGGCGUGCUUAACACAUGCAAGUCGAACGAGAACGGAUUAUAGCUUGCUAUAAUUGUCAGCUAAGUGGCGCACGGGUGAGUAAUGUAUAGGUAAUAUGCCUCUUACUAAGGGAUAACAAAUGGAAACGUUUGCUAAUACCUUAUACUCCUUAUUAACAGAAGUUAAUAAGGGAAAGAUUUAUUGGUAAGAGAUUAGCCUGUAUUGUAUCAGUUAGUUGGUGGGGUAAUGGCUUACCAAGACUAUGACACAUAACUGGUUUGAGAGGAUGAUCAGUCACACUGGAACUGAGACACGGUCCAGACUCCUACGGGAGGCAGCAGUGGGGAAUAUUGCACAAUGGACGAAAGUCUGAUGCAGCAACGCCGCGUGGAGGAUGACACAUUUCGGUGCGUAAACUCCUUUUAUAUGAGAAGAUAAUGACGGUAUUAUAUGAAUAAGCACCGGCUAACUCCGUGCCAGCAGCCGCGGUA
rnacentral:rRNA from 1 species